rnacentral:rRNA from 1 species
GUGACCGAUAGUGAACUAGUACCGUGAGGGAAAGGUGAAAAGAACCCCUAUUAGGGGAGUGAAAUAGAACCUGAAACCGCAUGCCUACAAUCAGUCGGAGCUCUAUAUGAGUGACGACGUACCUUUUGUAUAAUGGGUCAGUGACUUUAUCUGUGCAGCAAGCUUAAGCCGAAAAGGUGUAGGCGUAGCGAAAGCGAGUCUGAAUAGGGCGAUGAGUUGUACGGAUAAGAACCCGAAACCUAGUGAUCUAGUUAUGAGCAGGUUGAAGGUAAGGUAACACUUACUGGAGGACCGAACCGGUGCCUGUUGAAAAAGGCUCGGAUGACUUGUGAUUAGGGGUGAAAGGCCAAUCAAACUGGGAGAUAGCUGGUUUUCCGCGAAAACUAUUUAGGUAGUGCGUUGAAUAAUAAGAUCUUGAGGGGUAGAGCACUAAAUAGGCUAGGGGGAAGAAAUUCUUACUAAACCUAAUAAAACUCCGAAUACUCAAGAUUGUUUCUCAAUAGACAGACGGUGGGAGCUAACUUCCAUCGUCGAGAGGGAAAAAACCCAGACCACCAUCUAAGGUCCCAAAAUCGUAGUUAAGUGUGAAAGGAUGUGAAGACUCCAAAACAGCCGGGAGGUUGGCUUAGAAGCAGCCAUCCUUUAAAGAAAGCGUAACAGCUCACCGGUCUAAUUAAGAGACUUUGCGCCGAAGAUGUAACGGGGCUCAAACUACGUACCGAAGUUGUGGAUUUAAAGUGUCUACGGACAUUUUAUCUGGUAGCGGAACGUUCUGUAAGUCUGUGAAGGGAUACCCGCGAGGGGUCCUGGAGAUAUCAGAAGUGCGAAUGCUGACAUAAGUAGCGACAAACAGAGUGAAAGACUCUGUCGCCGAAAAUACAAGGGUUCCUGCGUAAAGUUAAUCUUCGCAGGGUUAGUCGGCCCCUAAGGCGAGGGCGAAAGCCGUAGUCGAUGGGAACAAGGUAAAUAUUCCUUGACCUGAUGGUAGUGACGGAUCUCGUAUAUUGUAAGUUCUUAUUGGAUUGAACUUGCCUUGAAGAGGUCCCAGGAAAUAACUCCAUCAUUAAGACCGUACCCUAAACGGACACACGUGUAUUGGUAGAGAAUACCUAGGCGCUUGAGAGAAUGAUGUUGAAGGAACUCGGCAACUUGCCUCUGUAACUUCGGGAUAAAGAGGGCCUUAUUUUGCGCAAGCAGAGUAAGGUGGCACAAGCCAGGGAGUAGCGACUGUUUAACAAAAACACAGGACUCUGCUAACACGUAAGUGGAUGUAUAGGGUCUGACGCCUGCCCGGUGCCGGAAGGUUAAAGCAAGAUGUGCAAGCAUCGAACUGAAGCCCCGGUGAACGGCGGCCGUAACUAUAACGGUCCUAAGGUAGCGAAAUUCCUUGUCGGGUAAGUUCCGAC